rnacentral:sRNA from 1 species
GCUGGGCACAGUGGCGCAUGCCUGUAAUACCAGUGGCUGGGGAGGCUGAGGCAGGAGGAUCUUGAAUUCAAGGCCAGCCUCAGAAAUUUAGCAAGGCCCUAAGCAACUUAGUGCCCCAGCCUUUU